rnacentral:rRNA from 1 species
UCUUUUAAUUGAAGGCUUGUAUGAAUGGUUGGACGAAAUAUUAACUGUUUCAAGUAAAAUUGUAUAGAAUUUUAUUUUUUAGUCAAAAAGCUAAAAUUUAAUUAAAAGACGAGAAGACCCUAUAGAUCUUUAUAAUUGAAUUAUAAAAUUUAUAAAGAAUAUUUAAAGUUUUAUAAAUAAGAUUAUUUUAUUGGGGUGAUAAUAAAAUUUAAUAAACUUUUAAAAAUUAAAACAUAAAUUAAUGAAUAAUUGAUCCAUUUUUAAUGAUUAAUAAAUUAAGUUACCUUAGGGAUAACAGCGUAAUUUUUUUAGAGAGUUCAUAUCGAUAAAAAAGAUUGC